rnacentral:rRNA from 1 species
UAAGGAAUAUUGGUCAAUGGACGAAAGUCUGAACCAGCCAUGCCGCGUGAAGGAUUAAGGUCCUCUGGAUUGUAAACUUCUUUUAUCUGGGACGAAAAAAGGCGAUUCUUCGUCACUUGACGGUACCAGAUGAAUAAGCACCGGCUAACUCCGUGCCAGCAGCCGCGGUAAUACGUAGGAGGCGAGCGUUAUCCGGAUUUACUGGGCGUAAAGUGGGUGUAGGCGGCCCUUCAAGUCGGGUAUGAAAUCUCCUGGCUUAACUAGGAGGAGUUAUCCGAUACUGCUGGGCUAGAGUGCAGCAGAGGGAGGUGGAAUUCCCGGUGUAGUGGUGAAAUGCGUAGAUAUCGGGAGGAACACCAGUGGCGAAAGCGGCCUCCUGGGCUGUUACUGACGCUGAGGCCCGAAAGCGUGGGGAGCGAACAGGAUUAGAUACCCUGGUAGUCCACGCCUUAAACUUUGGACACUAGGUAUGGGGAGUACCGACCCUCUCCGUGCCGAAGCUAACGCGUUAAGUGUCCCGCCUGGGGACUACGGCCGCAAGGUUG